GGCGAACGCUGGCGGCAGGCCUAACACAUGCAAGUCGAACGGACCCUUCGGGGUUAGUGGCGGACGGGUGAGUAACACGUGGGAACGUGCCUUUAGGUUCGGAAUAGCUCCUGGAAACGGGUGGUAAUGCCGAAUGUGCCCUUCGGGGGAAAGAUUUAUCGGCUUUAGAGCGGCCCGCGUCUGAUUAGCUAGUUGGCGAGGUAAUGGCUCACCAAGGCGACGAUCAGUAGCUGGUCUGAGAGGAUGACCAGCCACAUUGGGACUGAGACACGGCCCAAACUCCUACGGGAGGCAGCAGUGGGGAAUCUUGCGCAAUGGGCGAAAGCCUGACGCAGCCAUGCCGCGUGGAUGAUGAAGGUCUUAGGAUUGUAAAAUCCUUUCACCGGUGAAGAUAAUGACUGUAGCCGGAGAAGAAGCCCCGGCUAACUUCGUGCCAGCCGCCGCCGUAAAAC
rnacentral:rRNA from 1 species